UUAGAGUUUGAUCCUGGCUCAGGAUGAACGCCCUCGGCAGGCUUAACACAUGCAAGUCGAGGGGCAGCGAGAUCAGUGCUUGCACUGAUUGUCGGCGACCGGCGCACGGGUGCGUAACGCGUAUGCAACCUACCCAUUACAGGGGGAUAACACUGAGAAAUCGGUACUAAUACCCCAUAACAUCCAGGGAGGCAUCUUCUUGGGUUGAAAACUCCGGUGGUAAUGGAUGGGCAUGCGUUGUAUUAGUUAGUUGGUGGGGUAACGGCUCACCAAGACAACGAUACAUAGGGGGACUGAGAGGUUAACCCCCCACAUUGGUACUGAGACACGGACCAAACUCCUACGGGAGGCAGCAGUGAGGAAUAUUGGUCAAUGGACGCAAGUCUGAACCAGCCAUGCCGCGUGCAGGAAGACGGCUCUAUGAGUUGUAAACUGCUUUUGUACGAGGGUAAACGCAGAUACGCGUAUCUGUCUGAAAGUAUCGUACGAAUAAGGAUCGGCUAACUCCGUGCCAGCAGCCGCGGUAAUACGGAGGAUUCAAGCGUUAUCCGGAUUUAUUGGGUUUAAAGGGUGCGUAGGCGGUCGGAUAAGUUAGAGGUGAAAUCCCGGGGCUCAACUUCGGAAUUGCCUCUGAUACUGUUCGGCUAGAGAGUAGUUGCGGUAGGCGGAAUGUAUGGUGUAGCGGUGAAAUGCUUAGAGAUCAUACAGAACACCGAUUGCGAGGGCAGCUUACCAAGCUACUUCUGACGUUGAGGCACGAAAGCGUGGGGAGCAAACAGGAUUAGAUACCCUGGUAGUCCACGCAGUAAACGAUGAUAACUCGUUGUCGGCGAUACAGUGUCGGUGACUAAGCGAAAGCGAUAAGUUAUCCACCUGGGGAGUACGUUCGCAAGAAUGAAACUCAAAGGAAUUGACGGGGGCCCGCACAAGCGGAGGAACAUGUGGUUUAAUUCGAUGAUACGCGAGGAACCUUACCCGGGCUUGAAAGUUAGUGACGGAUCUUGAAAGAGGUCUUCCCUUCGGGGCACGAAACUAGGUGCUGCAUGGUUGUCGUCAGCUCGUGCCGUGAGGUGUCGGGUUAAGUCCCAUAACGAGCGCAACCCCUACCGUUAGUUGCCAGCAGGUCAAGCUGGGCACUCUGACGGGACUGCCGGUGUAAGCCGAGAGGAAGGUGGGGAUGACGUCAAAUCAGCACGGCCCUUACGUCCGGGGCUACACACGUGUUACAAUGGCAGGUACAGAGGGCAGCUACCCAGCGAUGGGAUGCGAAUCUCGAAAGCCUGUCUCAGUUCGGAUUGGAGGCUGAAACCCGCCUCCAUGAAGUUGGAUUCGCUAGUAAUCGCGCAUCAGCCAUGGCGCGGUGAAUACGUUCCCGGGCCUUGCACUCACCGCCCGUCA
rnacentral:rRNA from 1 species